rnacentral:rRNA from 2 species
ACAUACGACCAUACCCACUGGAGAACUCGGGAUCCCGUCCGCUCUCCCAUAGAUAAGCCAGUGAGGGCCGGAUUAGUAGUUGGGUCGGUGACGACCAGCGAAUACCCGGUGUUGUAUGUU